CCUACGGGAGGCAGCAGUGGGGAAUUUUCCGCAAUGGGCGAAAGCCUGACGGAGCAAUACCGCGUGAGGGAAGAAAGCCUACUGGGUUGUAAACCUCUUUUUCAGGGAGGAAAAAAUGACGUGUACCUGAAGAAUAAGCAUCGGCUAACUCCGUGCCAGCAGCCGCGGUAAGACGGAGGAUGCAAGUGUUAUCCGGAAUUACUGGGCGUAAAGCGUCUGUAGGUGGUUUAAUAAGUCAACUGUUAAAUCUUGAGGCUUAACUUCAAAACAGCAGUCGAAACUAUUAGACUAGAGUAUAGUAGGGGUAAAGGGAAUUUCCAGUGGAGCGGUGAAAUGCGUAGAUAUUGGAAAGAACACCGAUGGCGAAAGCACUUUACUGGGCUAUUACUAACACUCAGAGACGAAAGCUAGGGUAGCAAAUGGGAUUAGAUACCCCAGUAGUCCUAGCUGUAAACAAUGGAUACUAGAUGUUGAACAGAUCGACCUGUGCAGUAUUAAAAGCUAACGCGUUAAGUAUCCCGCCUGGGAAGUAUGCUCGCAAGAGUGAAAACUUAAAAGGAAAUUUGAACGGGCNGAGAACGUGCCGAACGGACGACAACGAAGGGGAAGGUUAAGG
rnacentral:rRNA from 1 species